UGAUCAGAGUAGCCAUUUGGAGGAGAUUAGAGUUGAAUUGCAAAAAUUUUUGAAGUUGAGUAAAAAUGGCCGAGAGCGAUACAACCUGCAGCACAACCGAGUUAGCUUAUGUCGCAAGUUGUGUCGAUCGUCAGAUAUUCAGGCCGAGAGCUACACAACCCGCGACACAACCCCCGACAUAACCGAUCUAGCUUAUGUCAUUUUUACUGGAAAUGGUUGACGUGGCAUUUCCAUUACUCUGGCUUUUUACCUCACUUUCUCUGGAACCUUCCCCCUUUUACCCAUUCUAGGGCAGUGCCCUCACCUAUAUAAAGUCCCCUUUAUCAUUUUCUUUCCAUAGAGAGCAAGGGAG
rnacentral:misc_RNA from 1 species